rnacentral:rRNA from 1 species
UACGGGGGGGGCAAGCGUUGUUCGGAAUUACUGGGCGUAAAGGGCUCGUAGGGGGCCAACUAAGUCAGACGUGAAAUCCCUCGGCUUAACCGGGGAACUGCGUCUGAUACUGGAUGGCUUGAGAUUGGGAGAGGGAUGCGGAAUUCCAGGUGUAGCGGUGAAAUGCGUAGAUAUCUGGAGGAACACCGGUGGCGAAGGCGGCAUCCUGGACCAACACUGACACUGAGGAGCGAAAGCCAGGGGAGCAAACGGG